rnacentral:rRNA from 1 species
GAGAGGAUGACCAGCCACACUGGAACUGAGACACGGUCCAGACUCCUACGGGAGGCAGCAGURGGGAAUAUUGCACACAUCAUGGGCGCAGCCUGAUGCAGCCAUGCCGCGUGUAUGAAGAAGGCCUUCGGGUUGUAAAGUACUUUCAGCGAGGAGGAAGGCAUUGUGGUUAAUAACCGCAGUGAUUGACGUUACUCGCAGAAGAAGCACCGGCUAACUCCGUGCCAGCAGCCGCGGUAAUAA